AUUUACAAACACACGGUAUAGUCAAUUAUAUCAUAAUUAGUUUCGAAAAUUAAAACUAAAUACGGCACUUGUCUUUAAAAAUACACUUAUAAAAGAAAAGCAGAAAAAUGAAAUUAAUUAUUAUUACAUUAUUUGUGAUACUUUAUGCAGCAUUGAGUGUUAAUGGAGCACCUCAAAUAUCCAGUGAGAUACACGGAUUAUGGCCAGAAGAAGGAUACCCGGACACCCCGUAAUCUACGACUACGAGUGUGGACAAAUGGAUCCGUGCUUUACGGUUUCCAAAUUAUUAAGAGAAAAAAAUUACAAUUCAUAAUAAAAAUGUUAUAUUAAUUUUCGUAAA